rnacentral:rRNA from 1 species
GACGUAGGGCGCGAGCGUUGUCCGGAUUUAUUGGGCGUAAAGAGCUCGUAGGCGGUUUGUCGCGUCGUUCGUGAAAACUCACAGCUUAACUGUGAGCUUGCGGUCGAUACGGGCAGGCUAGAGUUCGGUAGGGGAGACUGGAAUUCCUGGUGUAGCGGUGAAAUGCGCAGAUAUCAGGAGGAACACCGGUGGCGAAGGCAGGUCCCUGGGCUGACACUGACGCUCAUGCACGAAAGCGUGGGGAGCAAACAGG